UCGAACGGGGCCCUCGUGUCCCUCGACUCACAAACCAGGUGGAAGUGACCCGUGCUUCGGCGCUCCGGCGCCGCCUCGACGCGUGAAUCGGUCGUAUGUCUGAAUCACACAAGAAUCA
rnacentral:misc_RNA from 1 species